rnacentral:rRNA from 1 species
AUUGAACGCUGGCGGCAGGCCUAACACAUGCAAGUCGAGCGGAUGAAGGGAGCUUGCUCCUUGAUUCAGCGGCGGACGGGUGAGUAAUGCCUAGGAAUCUGCCUGGUAGUGGGGGAUAACGUCCGGAAACGGGCGCUAAUACCGCAUACGUCCUGAUGGAGAAAGUGGGGGAUCUUCGGACCUCACGCUAUCAGAUGAGCCUAGGUCGGAUUAGCUAGUUGGUGAGGUAAAGGCCUACCAAGGCGACGAUCCGUAACUGGUCUGAGAGGAUGAUCAGUCACACUGGAACUGAGACACGGUCCAGACUCCUACGGGAGGCAGCAGUGGGGAAUAUUGGACAAUGGGCGAAAGCCUGAUCCAGCCAUGCCGCGUGUGUGAAGAAGGUCUUCGGAUUGUAAAGCACCUUAAGUUGGGAGGAAGGGCAGUAAGUUAAUACCUUGCUGUUUUGACGUUACCAACAGAAUAAGCACCGGCUAACUUCGUG